rfam:Enterococcus casseliflavus EC20, complete genome.
AUGCUAAUAGGGAAUGAAUGUCUCCCUCAGUUCUUACUGAAACCGCAAUUUUGCUAAUGACUUCUACCACUUU